UACGGGGGGGGCAAGCGUUGUUCGGAAUUACUGGGCGUAAAGGGCUCGUAGGCGGCCAACUAAGUCAGACGUGAAAUCCCUCGGCUUAACCGGGGAACUGCGUCUGAUACUGGAUGGCUCGAGUUUGGGAGAGGGAUGCGGAAUUCCAGGUGUAGCGGUGAAAUGCGUAGAUAUCUGGAGGAACACCGGUGGCGAAGGCGGCAUCCUGGACCAACACUGACGCCGAUGAGCGAAAGCCAGGGGAGCAAACGGG
rnacentral:rRNA from 1 species